GACGAACGCUGGCGGCGUGCUUAACACAUGCAAGUCGAACGGUAAGGCCCUUCGGGGUACACGAGUGGCGAACGGGUGAGUAACACGUGGGUGAUCUGCCCUGCACCUCGGGAUAAGCCUGGGAAACUGGGUCUAAUACCGGAUAGGACUCCUGGCUUCAUGGUUGGGGGUGGAAAGCUUUUGCGGUGUGGGAUGGGCCCGCGGCCUAUCAGCUUGUUGGUGGGGUAAUGGCCUACCAAGGCGACGACGGGUAGCCGGCCUGGGAGGGUGACCGGUCACACUGGGACUGAGAUACGGCCCAGACUCCUACGGGAGGCAGCAGUGGGGAAUAUUGCACAAUGGGCGCAAGCCUGAUGCAGCGACGCCGCGUGAGGGAUGACGGCCUUCGGGUUGUAAACCUCUUUCAGCUAUGACGAAGCGCAAGUGACGGUAGUAGCAGAAGAAGGACCGGCCAACUACGUGCCAGCAGCCGCAGUAA
rnacentral:rRNA from 1 species